AACGAACGCUGGCGGCAGGCUUAACACAUGCAAGUCGAACGCCCCGCAAGGGGAGUGGCAGACGGGUGAGUAACGCGUGGGAAUCUACCCAUCCCUACGGAACAACUCCGGGAAACUGGAGCUAAUAACGUAUACGCCCUUAGGGGGAAAGAUUUAUCGGGGGUGGAUGAGCCCGCGUUGGAUUAGCUAGUUGGUGGGGUAAAGGCCUACCAAGGCGACGAUCCAUAGCUGGUCUGAGAGGAUGGUCAGCCACAUUGGGACUGAGACACGGCCCAAACUCCUACGGGAGGCAGCAGUGGGGAAUAUUGGACAAUGGGCGCAAGCCUGAUCCAGCCAUGCCGCGUGAGUGAUGAAGGCCUUAGGGUUGUAAAGCUCUUUCACCGAUGAAGAUAAUGACGGUAGUCGGAGAAGAAGCCCCGGCUAACUUCGUGCCAGCCGCCGCCGUAAAAC
rnacentral:rRNA from 1 species